rnacentral:lncRNA from 1 species
AAAAAAAAACAUUUUGGAACCAGUUGACUGUUAUGCAGUAUGGUAAGUGUGCAUAUUAGAACAGUCACUUAUAUUUUUAUUGUAGACAUGUAUAAAGUGUGUAUGUACACAUCUUGAAGCCGUAGACUGUGCAGUUUUAUUCAGAUUGAAUGUGUUAUUGUG